rnacentral:rRNA from 1 species
GAUGAACGCUAGCGACAGGCUUAACACAUGCAAGUCGAGGGGCAUCAUGAGGUAGCAAUACCUUGAUGGCGACCGGCGCACGGGUGAGUAACGCGUAUGCAACCUGCCCGAUACCGGGGUAUAGCCCAUGGAAACGUGGAUUAACACCCCAUAGUACUUUUAUCCUGCCUGGGAUGGGAGUUAAAUGUUCAAGGUAUCGGAUGGGCAUGCGUCCUAUUAGUUAGUUGGCGGGGUAACAGCCCACCAAGACGAUGAUAGGUAGGGGUUCUGAGAGGAAGGUCCCCCACAUUGGAACUGAGACACGGUCCAAACUCCUACGGGAGGCAGCAGUGAGGAAUAUUGGUCAAUGGACGUAAGUCUGAACCAGCCAAGUCGCGUGAGGGAAGACUGCCCUAUGGGUUGUAAACCUCUUUUAUAAGGGAAGAAUAAGUUCUACGUGUAGAAUGAUGCCUGUACCUUAUGAAUAAGCAUCGGCUAACUCCGUGCCAGCAGCCGCCGCCG